UUGAAUUGAAGAGUUUGAUCAUGGCUCAGAUUGAACGCUGGCGGCAGGCUUAACACAUGCAAGUCGAACGGUAACAUAAAGAAGCUUGCUUCUUUGAUGACGAGUGGCGGACGGGUGAGUAAUGCUUGGGAAUCUAGCUUAUGGAGGGGGAUAACUACGGGAAACUGUAGCUAAUACCGCGUAGUAUCGAAAGAUGAAAGUGUGGGACCUUCGGGCCACAUGCCAUAGGAUGAGCCCAAGUGGGAUUAGGUAGUUGGUGAGGUAAAGGCUCACCAAGCCGACGAUCUCUAGCUGGUCUGAGAGGAUGACCAGCCACACUGGGACUGAGACACGGUCCAGACUC
rnacentral:rRNA from 1 species